CUCACUGCCGGAAGUUACUGGGGCUGCUGCUAUUCUGCCUCUCUGCUGGGUGCACAUAAUGGCGCCGCAGAACAGUCUGUGAGGAACCUUGCCCGCAGCAGCUACCCCAGUAACUUUUGGCAGUGAGUCACUAUGUGAUAUGUGGUGCUGCGGCAGAGCCUGCUUUGUUGUGUGGGGAACGAGUUGACUGGGAGAGGGUAGGGGGAGUGAGCAGCUCCACAGAGAAGGAGACACGCUAAUAAAAAGCCAAUGGCUGAACAGCAGCUGCCCAGUAACUUCCGUUCCGGUUUCAGGAGCGCGCACAUAAGUGCAGGUCGCCACAUCACAUUUUUACAAUAAACUGAAACAACAGCAGUGGUGGCUUCAUUUCGACAGGAUCUUAGUUGGAAGGACUGCAAAAAAGGAGGAGAUGGAAGUGAAUGCAGCCAGGGGCACGCCGAAGAGGAUGAUGUUGCAUCCCAAGAGGUUCCAGGAUGACUGGGUGUAGGGGUGCACUGUGGAUCACCAGCGGCAGGCACAGAGGACAGGUCAAGCAAAAAGUAAAUUUUUCCUCCCAGCACAGGUGCCCCCCAGCCCCAACAAUGCUGGCGUAUAGAGGUAGCAGCAGCAAAAACACUGAAGAGCAGGAGACGGAAAUCGGAGCAUGGCGCUGUGUUGAUGAUGUCACUUCUGCCACGACAAGGAAGGAGGUUUAGAAUUAUAUAAUGCAGCCGUGGGUGAGUCUGCUGCUAACAGUCUGACAUGCAAGCAGGGGAAUGAGGGAUUUAGAAGCUCACAUGGGGGAAUGCAAGUGAGCAGGGGAAGGAUCGAGGGAGAGGUUCGCAUGGGGAUAUGUAAAGGAGCCGGGACAUGCCCCAACUGCCACGAAUGCGAGGAGUAUAGUAUAGAGGGUGUGAUAAACUGCUUGGCUAGCAGUGGGUUAAAUGAUCAUGCUGUGUUAGUUCAGGUGAAGCAGUCAGACCAGCACAAGAACUUUAUACAUUUUUUAGAACAUGGCAGAUAACAUAGCCCUGCUCCACACUUGCUCUCAGCUUAGACAGGAAGAGAUAAAACAGGAACAGGAAAUGAAUCAUAAGGUAAAACAGCAGGAAUGCCCUUAACCAAAAUGGACACAAAAGCUGGUUAUCACAUUCCUCCUUUUUAGCAAAAAGUAGAUCUAAACAUUAGUAUAUAUAAACAAUCAUUUAUAACUCAGUUCUAAAAGAUGUGAAGGCUGGAAAUGUCCAAGUUAGCAAUAACAUAGUGAAUAUUUUAGCCCAAUUUAACUUUAUGCGCUUCAACAAAUUUCUACACCUGUCACCCUUCACAACCACUAAGGGCAAUGUAAAUGGCUGACCUUCAUAUGUGACUGGUGCUAGGAUCUCUCCAAGCACAGGCAAUCUUCUCUCCAGUAUAAUAAGUGAGAUGUAAAUGUGAUUUCUGCAAUGCAAUUCUACUUAAACAGUAAUUGUAAAUAGUCUCUGAUAUCAGUGAUACAGAUGCACCUGUAUCAAGUUACAUGUUUACUGGAUGCCCAUCAAUUUCUAGCUUAAUAUGUAUACCAUUGUCUCCCCCAUUCAUAGUAUUGACUCUAUUUAAGUCUGUGCAGUCACUUUCUGGGCUGUUACAACUAUUCACAUUUUGCGCCCUGGGCUUGCGUGAUUUGCUUCUGCAGACAUGACCAAUGUGACCUAACUUUCCACAGUUUCUACAGGCUUCGGAUUUAUAUCUGCAGUUCUGUUCCUGAUGCAGGCCUCCACAGCCGUAGCAGUUUUUAACUCUCUGUGUCUGAAAUGUUUGCUCACCUGUGACUGACAUUGUAGGUGGCUGUGGUGAAUUUGGUGCAGUGGAUUUAAACAUUGCAGUUAUUUUAGGAAUAUCUGUAACUGAACAACUAUUUAGCUCCUUGAACUGCUGAGAGUCACAUUUGGUUAACUCUAUAGCCAAGGCAAUAUUAGAAGCAGACUUAUGCAGGUAGAAUCAUAAGGCAAUGGCAAAACAGCAGGAAUGCCCUUAACCAAAAUGGCCACAAAAGCUGGUUACUACAGAGGGGAACAGGGGAUGAGGAAAAUUCGGAUAAGGUUGAAGGGUUCAUAGAGGCAGCUCCAACCCCAGUAAAGACUGGUAGGAGGCAGGGUAAUGCAAGCACAAGGGGUGGUGGGAGAUUUUAGGUUAAGAGGAAACAGACAGCCAAUUUAUGAGUACAGGAUGCCCAGGUAUAGACUGCAAUAUUGAAGCAACAACAAUUACGAGGAUUAGUAGGAAAAUUAAUUUGAGGGGUAUAAUUAUGGAUGUAAGGACGAUUAUGAAUAUGAGUUGAUCCAUUCACGCAGACCAUGGCAAAAUCCAAGGAGGCCCAGAUGAAUUGGGGGGAUGGACAGAUGAACAGAGGGAGGCUAUGUAUAGGGAAACUAACUGUGGGCUGAGUUUUGGUUUUAGGAACAAGGAGGAGAGUAGAUCAGCCUAUUCUACAAUGGACAAUCAGCAGCUUCGCAUAUAUAAAUGUAGAAUGGCAAUGUGUCUAACAGAUGCGUCUGUCUACAUUACCUGCUGCAACCAGGGCAGCGAGAAAUUUCAAAAGGCAGCAACAGCCGCAACACUUCAUUCAAAUUACUAAAUGGAGAACUAUAACAUCCCUCUACAGAACUUUGAAGGGUAAUAUUCUUCCUGGUGGACCAGUUACAGAGACUCAUUGGAGCCAAUCCGAAAAAGCUUAGUGCACCUGUGACCCACCUCUGUCAAUAUCACGUGACAACUAAGCAAUGGGGAAGCAGUGUAAAUGACUGACAUUUCAUUUGUCCUAUUAGAGAUGUGAGGCAAGGAAGGGUGGUGGGAGGAAAUGGCAUGGAGUGAAAUGAAAUGGUGGGGUUAAGCUACAGCUGAUGUAGCAUUUAUUGGAAAUUUUAUGUAGCGCACAAGUCUUUUCCUGUUAUUUAUGCUUCAAUUAAUAAAUUUUCAAUUUGGAAACUC